rnacentral:ncRNA from 1 species
UGUCUUCGGGGCGGGGUGCAAUUCCCCACCGGCGGUAAAGCGGCGUAAGCCGACGAGCCCGCGAGCGAAAGCUGAUUUGGUUUGAUUCCAAAGCCGACGGUAUAGUCCGGAUGGAAGAAGAU